UGUGAGUAAGAAUGCUGAUUUCCAACUUAUUUUCGACGAGGCUGGUUAUGUCUACUUAAAACAAGGGAACAAAAACAUACGAAACAUCACAAAAAAUGACAUGGGUUCACCACAGGAGUUCUACUACAUGGCAAGAAUUGAUUAUGAUGGAGUUUUCAGGCAUUAUAAUCAUCCAAGAAAAAAUUAUGCUGUUGGUACCGAAGGCUGCAAGUCGUCUUGGUCUAUCAUUCAAAACACCCCAGAAGAUAUGUGCGGCGCAAUAGUGGGAGGUCUUGGGAGUGGGGCAUGUGGAUAUAAUAGCUAUUGUGUGAACUCAAAUGGAAAGCCCCAAUGCUUCUGCACGGAUGGAUACUCUUUUGUCGACUCAUUUGAUAAGAAUAAAGGCUGCAAGCCAAAUUUUCAAUUGCCUAGUUGCCAGCAAAAUGGUUGGGAAUUGAACAUGGAUUCUAUAGAGUUUAAGGAGUUGAAUAACACUGACUGGCCCUUAACUGAUUAUGAACGUCAGACUGGAUCCCAAGUAGACGAGUCUAGGUGUUAAGAAUUUUGCCUUCAAGAUUGUUUUUGUGCAGCUGCUAUCUACAAUGGGAACACUUGUUGGAAGAAAAAAUUCCCCCUUUCCAAUGGAAGACAAUCCAAAGAUUUGAGCAGGAUAGCCCUCAUCAAGGUCCCAAAGGGCAACAUGACAAACACGUGCCCGAAAAAUAAAGAUCAGUCCACUUUAGUUAUUAUUGUAUCAGUACUACUUGGUAGUUCUGUAUUCCUCAAUUUUCUUCUGUUGUUCACCAUAUUGAUUUCUGUUUUCUUCAUAUAUCGCAAGAAGAUGCUAAACUUACAGUUUGAUUCGACUACAUUUGGGGUGAGAAGGUAUACAUACAAAGAACUCGAGGAAGCAACUGGAGGUUUCAAGCAGCAACUAGGCCGGGGAGCUUUUGGAACGGUCUAUAAAGGUGUCACUCCAUCAAUUCCGAAGAGAUAUAUUGCUGUUAAGAUGCUGAAUAAGGUUGAACCUGUUAGUGCGGAAACGAAGUGUUGAAGAAAAACUUGAAUUUUUAUUGAUAGUUUUUAAGUUGCUACA
rnacentral:lncRNA from 1 species